UAAAGAUCCGUCGGAUGAGGAUAGGCUCGCGUGACAUUAGCUUGACGGCGGGGUAACGGCCCACCGUGGCGACGAUGUCUAGGGGUUCUGAGAGGAAGGUCCCCCACACUGGAACUGAGACACGGUCCAGACUCCUACGGGAGGCAGCAGUGAGGAAUAUUGGUCAAUGGCCGGAAGGCUGAACCAGCCAUGCCGCGUGAAGGUCAGUGCCCUAUGGGCGUUAAACUUCUUUUGUGCGGGAGCAAUAAGGUCCACGUGUGGACCGACGAGAGUACCGUACGAAUAAGCAUCGGCUAGCUCCGUGCCAGCAGCCGCGGUAAUACGGGGGAUGCAAGCGUUAUCCGGAUUUAUUGGGUUUAAAGGGUGCGUAGGCUGUGAGGUAAGUCAGCGGUGAAAUGCCCCCGCUCAACGGGGUGAAGUGCCAUUGAUACUGCCUUGCUGGAAUGCGGAUGCCGUGGGAGGAAUGUGUGGUGUAGCGGUGAAAUGCAUAGAUAUCACACAGAACACCGAUUGCGAAGGCAUCUCACGAAUCCGCUAUUGACGCUGAUGCACGAAAGCGUGGGUAUCAAACAGGAUUAGAUACCCUGGUAGUCCACGCUGUAAACGAUGAUGGCUAACCGUCGGCGAUACACAGUCG
rnacentral:rRNA from 1 species